GCACUCUUAGUGUAGUGGUAACACUCCCUUAUCAACGAUGUCUGAGGGGAUCCUGGGUUCGAUGCCCGGAGGGUGCC